AUACGUAGGGUGCAAGCGUUAAUCGGAAUUACUGGGCGUAAAGCGUGCGCAGGCGGUUUUGUCAGACCGAGGAGAAAUCCCCGGGCUCCACCUGGGAACUGCCUUUGUGAGUGCAAGGAUAGAGGACGGCAGAGGGGGGUGGGAUUCCGCGUGUAGCAAUGAAAUGCGUAGAUAUGCGGAGGAACACCGAUGGCGAAGGCAAUCCCCUGGGCCUGUACUGACGCUCAUGCACGAAAGCGUGGGGAGCAAACAGGAUUAGAUACCCUGGUAGUCCACGCCCUAAACGAUGUCAACUGGUUGUUGGGUCUUCAUUGACUCAGGAACGAAGCUAACGCGUGAAGUUGACCGCCUGGGGAGUACGGCCGCAAGGUUGAAACUCAAAUGAAUUGACGGGG
rnacentral:rRNA from 1 species